ACUUUUCCUUGCUCUAUAUGUUAUAUUAUAUUAUCUAUUCUCCAUCCGAUCCAAUUUUACUUUUCCUUGCUCUAUAUUAUCUACUUCAGGCGUUAUAUCAAAUAUUUGCAUCCUAACAUCGUUCUAUGAGAGUGUGUUUUCUCCUUGCACCAAAUCUGAGGUUCAGGACAACACUGAAGAUCCAUAGUUGGAGGAUAUGGGAAGUUGAGGCCUAUUUGGAACAGCAUGAAUUAUUAACUGGUAAGAUCUAAUGCUUGAUAUAAUUUACAUGAUUCUUAACAUUUUCUAGAGCCCUAUAUAUAUUCUAGCCUUGUUCUGGUGGACGGGUACAGUUCUCCUUUUUAUAUGCUUUAUUUUUAGCUAGAGAUGAAUUUGUUCAUUAAAAAGAAAAGAAUAGGGAGAAGGAGUUGGAAUCUAUCAAGUAGAGAGAAGGGAAUGCCUAAAGAAAAACAUAUGAGGUACCAAAGUGAAAAAAAAAGGUAACAGUUGAUGUUAGAUUACAACAGCCAAAGAGGACUAUAAAUUUUUGUUGCCCCAAUUAGCAAAAGAGUUGCCUAUGAAUUAGAUUAGCUAUAAUUUAUAAAUACAUUUCAAAAAUGCAAUUCUCAACAACACGAUAUCACGUUUUGAUGAUGCAUGCUUUAAAAUUGCCACGGAAAAGUCAACUGGGAGUUGGGAAUCUACAUGCAAUUGACAUACCCAAAAAUCUCAGGGAAGAUUUUUGGACCAGUGUUCUCAUAUGAUGUUCACCUUUUGUUAUUGAUAUAACAGUUAGAAGAUGGUAUUGAAGACAGUUGAAUUAUUAAAUUGCUCUGUGAAUUGUUUUGUGGUUCUUUUUUUUGGGUUUUGAAAGAUGGUAUUGAAGACAGUAAAUCUUUUGAAAAAUGAAAUUCCAUUUGAGGAAGAAUCAGUAGUUUUAUUUGAAGAUGUCAAGACUGGUUUAGUUCUCGUCAACAUCAUCAAUGGCUUCUGCACCAUUGGAGCUGGAAAUCUGGUCUCUCUCCUCCCCUCUCUCUUUAUCUUUUCAUUAUUACCCAGUUUCAAUUAUUUAGUAAUGGCUAGAUUUUUCUUUACUUCAAAUUAAUAUGGAUUAGAUUGUCCCCAUCUGCUAACCCACUUGUACAACAGAUCGUUUAAA